CAAGGCGGUGGAGCAUGUGGUUUAAUUCGAAGCAACGCGCAGAACCUUACCAGCCCUUGACAUACCGGUCGCGGACACAGAGAUGUGUCUUUCAGUUCGGCUGGACACGGAUACAGGUGCUGCAUGGCUGUCGUCAGCUCGUGUCGUGAGAGGUUGGGUUAAGUCCCGCAACGAGCGCAACCCUCGCCCUUUAGUUGCCAGCAUUUAGUUGGGCACUCUAAGGGGACCGCCGGUGAUAAGCCGAAAGGAAGGUGGGGAUGACGUCAAGUCCUCAUCGCCCUUACCCAGGGGUCCCACACGUGCUCCAAAUGGUGGUGACAGUGGGCAGCGAGCACGCGAGUGUGAGCUAAUCUACAAAAGCCAUCUCAGUUCGGAUUGCACUCUGCAACUCGAGUCCAUGAAGUUGGAAUCGCUG
rnacentral:rRNA from 1 species